rnacentral:rRNA from 1 species
CCGACAAGCGGUGGAUGAUGUGGAUUAAUUCGAUGCAACGCGAAAACCUUACCUACCCUUGACAUGCCAGGAACUUGCCAGAGAUGGCUUGGUGCCCGAAGGAGCCUGGACACAGGUGCUGCAUGGCUGUCGUCAGCUCGUGUCGUGAGAUGUUGGGUUAAGUCCCGCAGCGAGCGCAACCCUUGUCAUUAGUUGCCAUCAUUUGGUUGGGCACUCUAAUGAGACUGCCGGUGACAAACCGGAGGAAGUGGGGAUGACGUCAAGUCCUCAUGGCCCUUAUGGGUAGGGCUUCACACGUCAUACAAUGGUCGGUACAGAGGGUUGCCAAGCCGCGAGGCGGAGCCAAUCCCACAAAGCCGAUCGUAGUCCGGAUUGUUCUCUGCAACUCGAGAGCAUGAAGUCGGAAUCGCUAGUAAUCGUGGAUCAGCAUGUCACGGUGAAUACGUUCCCGGGUCUU